UACGUAGGGUGCAAGCGUUAAUCGGAAUUACUGGGCGUAAAGCGUGCGCAGGCGGUUUUGUAAGACAGGCGUGAAAUCCCCGGGCUUAACCUGGGAAUUGCGUUUGUGACUGCAAGGCUGGAGUGCGGCAGAGGGGGAUGGAAUUCCGCGUGUAGCAGUGAAAUGCGUAGAUAUGCGGAGGAACACCGAUGGCGAAGGCAAUCCCCUGGACCUGUACUGACGCUCAUGCACGAAAGCGUGGGGAGCAAACAGG
rnacentral:rRNA from 1 species